rnacentral:lncRNA from 1 species
GCUGGAGAUUACUAGCGCUUCACAGAAAUUAUCUGCUCAGCAGCCAUGCAUCAUUUAUAACAAUCUCUGGCAAAACCUCAGAAAAAGAUACGCGCUUGUCUCAUCUGGCAGAGCCCAGUGAAAACACUCUUCGGGUGGAAGCGACUCCAGCCGUGGGGCAGCCUCGUGGGGUUUGCUUCUCUGAAGGAGUAUGACCCAGUUAGGAAGGAAGGAAGAGCCACACGUCAAACACAGUCACCAGUGAAACCAGAGAGGGGCUGGACUCCGGCUUCUCCACAGGACAGUGGACCCCUUCUAUCGGAAAUGGCCCACGAAGUGGACCUGGAGUCCUUCAAGGAGUUGGAACGGGACAUCAUUCUCCGUGUCCUAUAUCGUGAUCAAACUGUUCAAAGCACCGAGGAGGAAAGGGUCCGGAAACUGAAAUCACACCUGCAGCAUCUUCGGUGGAAGGGGGCGAAGAGCUCUAGCCAGGAAUACAAGGAAAAGUGCUGUGCACGUUGCCAGCGGGCUCUGGGCCUUCUGCUGAACCGUGGGGCCGUGUGUCAGGGCUGCAGCCACCGCGUGUGUUCCGAGUGCCGUGUGUUCCUGCGGAGGACUCGUGCAUGGAAGUGCACGGUUUGCUUUGAGGACAGAAACGUGAAAAUCAAAACCGGAGAAUGGUUCUUUGAAGAACGAGCCAGGAAAUUUCCAACUGCAGCAAAAUCUCUGUGGUCCCUCCGACACCACCACCUUUCAGUGAGAGCCAGUGCAGCAGCUCCAGCAGGUUACAGGAACUUGGCCACUUCAGAGGAUUUAAUAAGUCUGUGGAAAACUUGUUUCUGUCUGUCACCACCCAGAUGAGAAAGCUCUCCAAGUCCCAGAAUGACAUGACCUCUGAGAAGCAUCUUCUGGCCAUGGACCCCAGGCAGUGUGUGGGCCACACGGAGAGGCGGAGCCAGUCAGACACUGCAGUCAACGUGACUUCCAGGAAGGCCAGCACACCCGAUAUUCUGAAAGCGUUCCAUCAAGAAGAUCCUAAACACCCUCCCGACCCUGUUUUGAAGCAAGACACUCCCCCGUCCAGUCCGACACACAGCGCUGUCUUCUCUGGAGGCUUGAGACACGGAGCAUCAACAGCACCUGCACAGAGAUGGGUAAUUUUGACAAUGCUAAUGUCACUGGAGAAAUAGAAUUUGCCAUUCAUUACUGCGUUAAAAGCUGCUCUUUAGAGAUAUGCAUCAAGACCUGUAAGAACCUUGCCUAUGGAGAAGAAAAGAAAAGAAAGUGCAAUCCAUGAGAUCUAUGGGAACAGCUUAAUUUCUACUGUGAUUGACAGCUGCAACUGCUCAGACUCCAGUGAUAUCGAACUGAGUGAUGAUUGGGCUGCCAAGAAGUCUCCCAAAAUCUCCAGAUCUAGCAAAUCGCCCAAACUCCCAAGGAUCAGCAUUGAGGCCCGAAAGUCACCCAAGCUUCCACGGGCUGCUCAAGAGAUUUCUCGGUCUCCCCGAUUGCCCAUGCGCAAGCCCUCCAUGGGCUCGCCCAGCCUGACACGGAGAGAGGUUCCUUUUGAAGACAUCACUCAGCACAACUAUCUUGCUCAGGUCACAUCCAAUAUCUGGGGAACCAAGUUUAAGAUUGUGGGCUUGGCUGCAUUCCUACCAACCAACCUCGGUGCAGGUAAAGACUCGCUCUAUUUUCUCACCGUCCCAUU